rnacentral:rRNA from 1 species
GUGGUAAUGCCGGAUGCUCCAUCACACUGCAUGGUGUGUUGGGAAAGCCUUUGCGGCAUGGGAUGGGGUCGCGUCCUAUCAGCUUGAUGGCGGGGUAACGGCCCACCAUGGCUUCGACGGGUAGCCGGCCUGAGAGGGCGACCGGCCACAUUGGGACUGAGAUACGGCCCAGACUCCUACGGGAGGCAGCAGUGGGGAAUAUUGCACAAUGGGCGCAAGCCUGAUGCAGCGACGCCGCGUGAGGGAUGGAGGCCUUCGGGUUGUAAACCUCUUUUGUUAGGGAGCAAGGCACUUUGUGUUGAGUGUACCUUUCGAAUAAGCACCGGCUAACUACGUGCCAGCAGCCGCGGUAAUACGUAGGGUGCAAGCGUUAUCCGGAAUUAUUGGGCGUAAAGGGCUCGUAGGCGGUUCGUCGCGUCCGGUGUGAAAGUCCAUCGCUUAACGGUGGAUCCGCGCCGGGUACGGGCGGGCUUGAGUGCGGUAGGGGAGACUGGAAUUCCCGGUGUAACGGUGGAAUGUGUAGAUAUCGGGAAGAACACC